UCGAGAAUUUUUCACAAUGGACGAAAGUCUGAUGGAGCGACGCCGCGUGGAGGAUGAAGGUUCUUGGAUUGUAAACUCCUGUCACUGCAGAACAAGGCUACGCAUGUUAAUAGCAAGCGUAGUUGAUGGUAUGCGGAGAGGAAGGGACGGCUAACUCUGUGCCAGCAGCCGCGGUAAGACAGAGGUCCCGAGCGUUGUUCGGAUUCAUUGGGCGUAAAGGGUGUGUAGGAGGUCGGGUAAGUCAGGUGUGAAAUCUCACAGCUUAACUCUGAAACUGCGCUUGAUACUGCCCAGCUAGAGGAUCGGAGGGGGUAACGGAAUUUAUGGUGUAGCAGUGAAAUGCGUAGAUAUCAUAAGGAACACCGGUGGCGAAGGCGGUUACCUGGAAGAUUCCUGACUCUGAAACACGAAAGCCAGGGGAGCAAACGGGAUUAGAUACCCCCGUAGUCC
rnacentral:rRNA from 1 species